GUCCUCAUUAUUCUUAGAUUUUGAAUUGACAUAUGCCCCCAUUUUUGAGGUCUACAAUUUCAAUGGUACUAACAACUUACUCUACAAGUUUUUACUUUGCAAGAUAUAAGGUGGUUUGACUUUGCCUUCAAAGUAGUUGAUUUUUAUGAUAUAGAAGGUAUUUGAAAGUUUUAAAAAGGACAUUAAGUCGAUUUGGAGGGUGCCAAUUAUAAAUAUGUGAUUAAAUUGUUAUAGAUGUGUAUAAAUGGAACAAUAUUAGAUAUUUAAUAUUUAAAAUAUUUGAAUUGAUGUAUGUAAUUGAGAAAGAAUAUUUGAGAUUUUUA
rnacentral:lncRNA from 1 species